rnacentral:rRNA from 1 species
AGAGCGAACGCUGGCGGCAGGCCUAACACAUGCAAGUCGAACGGACUCUUCGGAGUUAGUGGCGGACGGGUGAGUAACACGUGGGAACGUGCCUUUUGGUUCGGAAUAGCUCCUGGAAACGGGUGGUAAUGCCGAAUGUGCCCUUCGGGGGAAAGAUUUAUCGCCAUUAGAGCGGCCCGCGUCUGAUUAGCUAGUUGGUGAGGUAAAGGCUCACCAAGGCUACGAUCAGUAGCUGGUCUGAGAGGAUGACCAGCCACAUUGGGACUGAGACACGGCCCAAACUCCUACGGGAGGCAGCAGUGGGGAAUCUUGCGCAAUGGGCGAAAGCCUGACGCAGCCAUGCCGCGUGAAUGAUGAAGGUCUUAGGAUUGUAAAAUUCUUUCAGUAGGACGAUAAUGACGUACCUACAGAAGAAGACCCCGGCUAACCUUCGACGCCCAGCAGCCGC